rnacentral:rRNA from 1 species
UACAGAGGUCUCAGGCGUUGUUCGGAUUCAUUGGGCGUAAAGGGUGUGUAGGUGGCGCGCUAAGUCGGGGUGUGAAAUUUCGGAGCUUAACUUCGAAACUGCAUUCGAUACUGGCGUGCUUGAGGACUGGAGAGGAGACUGGAAUUUACGGUGUAGCAGUGAAAUGCGUAGAUAUCGUAAGGAAGACCAGUGGCGAAGGCGGGUCUCUGGACAGUUCCUGACACUGAGACACGAAGGCCAGGGGAGCAAACGGG